UUAACUAUUAUAUAGUACUCAGACAUCACUAACAUUCAGAGUUUGGUCCUCUGGCAUGCACGUACGAGCAGAGCCCGCAGUGGAGGCCACGGCCUGCCAAAGCAACAAGAGUAUGUAAACACGGGUGGGUGGGCACCCAGCCUUUUUGGGGGCGGGCACGUCACUGGUAAUGAUCCUUCCGCAGGUUCACCUACGGAAA
rnacentral:misc_RNA from 1 species